CAGUAGCCGCGGUAAUACGGAGGAGGCUAGCGUUGUCCGGAAUUACUGGGCGUAAAGCGCACGUAGGCGGCUUGGUAAGUUAGAGGUGAAAGCCUGGAGCUCAACUCCAGAAUUGCCUUUAAGACUGCCGAGCUAGCAGGUGAGAGAGGUAAGUGGAAUUCCGAGUGUAGAGGUGAAAUUCGUAGAUAUUCGGAAGAACACCAGUGGCGAAGGCGGCUUACUGGCUCAUACUGGACGCUGAGGUGCGAAAGCGUGGGGAGCAAACAGGAUUAGAUACCCGUGUAGUCCCUGUCUCUUAUAC
rnacentral:rRNA from 1 species